GACGAACGCUGGCGGCGUGCUUAACACAUGCAAGUCGAACGGAAAGGCCCUGCUUUUGUGGGGUGCUCGAGUGGCGAACGGGUGAGUAACACGUGAGUAACCUGCCCUUGACUUUGGGAUAACUUCAGGAAACUGGGGCUAAUACCGGAUAGGAGCUCCUGCUGCAUGGUGGGGGUUGGAAAGUUUCGGCGGUUGGGGAUGGACUCGCGGCUUAUCAGCUUGUUGGUGGGGUAGUGGCUUACCAAGGCUUUGACGGGUAGCCGGCCUGAGAGGGUGACCGGCCCCAUUGGGACUGGACUACGGCCCGGCCUCCUACGGGAGGCAGCAGUGGGGAAUAUUGCACAAUGGGCGGAAGCCUGAUGCAGCAACGCCGCGUGCGGGAUGACGGCCUUCGGGUUGUAAACCGCUUUCGCCUGUGCCGAAGCGUGAGUGACGGUAAUGGGUAAAGAAGCACCGGCUAACUACGUG
rnacentral:rRNA from 1 species